ACGGGCUGGAAAACAGUGAGAGCUGAAGCAGCCACUUGGAACCCAGAGACAGAUGCCUGACAUUGACUGUGGUACAGCUGCCCGCCAGCCCUGCACCUCUCCUCUCCAGACCGCAUUCUUUCCUGAGGCCCAGGAGUAGCUGAGUUGCAGUGUGUGCCAUGCCGCGAGGGAGCUUCCCCUGCUGAAGCUGCUUUGUUCCACUGGACAAUGCAGCCUUUUCUGCUUGACUGUCUCUCUGGGCACCUACACAGCGACACGGUGCAGGGGAGAGGGGGUUUUAGGGAUGUUUUUGAAGAGGAUUGUUCUCAACAAGCAAUUCCAUCACAUCUGGAAAUAGAGGCCACUGAAUAUAUUUCUUAAAUUCCAAAUAUAUGAGAUUUUCUAAUUAACUUUUUGUGUUUUUGAUUUCUAAUUUAAUUGCUAGUAGUGAGAGAACAUACUCUGUGUAGUUUGAACCCUUUGAAAUUUUCUGGGACUUGUCUCAAGGACCAGUACAUGAUUGAUUGUGGUUACAUUUAUGUGUGUCUUUGAAGAACAUCUUCUCUAGUUUUGGGUGGUAUUCUUUGUACUUGCUUUAAACUGAGUUUGCUAAUUGUGCUGUUCAAACCUUCUACAUGCUUACUGGU